GAAACCUAGUGAUAUAUGGGUUACGGUGGCGGACGGGUCGGAGUAACGCCGUGGGGUAACCUGCCUUACCACAACGGGGGAUUAACGACUUUAGAAAUAGGUAGCUAAAACCGCAUAAGCGCACAGCUUCGCAUGAAGCGGUGUGAAAAACUCCGGUGGUGUAAGAUGGACCCGCGUCUGAUUAGCUGUUGGCGGGGUAACGGCCCACCAAGGCGACGAUCAGUAGCCGGCCUGAGAGGCGGACGGCCACAUUGGGACUGAGACACGGCCCAGACUCCUACGGGAGGCAGCAGUGGGGAAUAUUGCACAAUGGGGGAAACCCCGAUGCAGCGACGCCGCGUGAGUGAGGAAGUAAUUCGUUACGUAAAGCUCUAUCAGCAGGGAAGAAAUACUGACCUUACGGUCAGCAGACGGUACCUGAGUAAGAAGCCCCGGCUAACUACGUG
rnacentral:rRNA from 1 species